rnacentral:rRNA from 1 species
GAUGAACGCUGGCGGCGUGCUUAACACAUGCAAGUCGAACGAUUAAGCCCAGCUUGCUGGGUGGAUUAGUGGCGAACGGGUGAGUAACACGUGAGUAACCUGCCCUUGACUCUGGGAUAAGCCUGGGAAACUGGGUCUAAUACUGGAUAUGACUUCUCAUCGCAUGGUGGGGGGUGGAAAGAUUUAUUGGUCUUGGAUGGACUCGCGGCCUAUCAGCUUGUUGGUGAGGUAAUGGCUCACCAAGGCGACGACGGGUAGCCGGCCUGAGAGGGUGACCGGCCACACUGGGACUGAGACACGGCCCAGACUCCUACGGGAGGCAGCAGUGGGGAAUAUUGCACAAUGGGCGCAAGCCUGAUGCAGCGACGCCGCGUGAGGGAUGACGGCCUUCGGGUUGUAAACCUCUUUCAGUAGGGAAGAAGCGAGAGUGACGGUACCUGCAGAAGAAGCGCCGGCUAACUACGUG